UACGAAGGGGGCUAGCGUUGCUCGGAAUCACUGGGCGUAAAGCGCACGUAGGCGGACUCUUAAGUCGGUGGUGAAAUCCUGGAGCUCAACUCCAGAACUGCCUUUAAUACUGCCAGUCUCGAGUCCGGAAGAGGUAAGUGGAACUCCUAGUGUAGAGGUGGAAUUCGUAGAUAUUAGGAAGAACACCAGUGGCGAAGGCGGCUUACUGGUCCGGUACUGACGCUGAGGUGCGAAAGCGUGGGGAGCAAACAGG
rnacentral:rRNA from 1 species